rnacentral:lncRNA from 1 species
GAGGCAUUCUGGGUUGGGAGGGAGUGGUGUUUGAUGGGGUUUUUGGUUUGUUUUCUUUUUCCUGUGCUUAAGCACUAAAACUGAGUAAAGCCCUUUAAAAUUUCUUCUGUACUACAAAAGUAGAAAUGACCUUCAUCAGGAACUUGUGCGUGUCAAGUGGAACCCAGGUGAAGUUUUAAAGGACCGUGGUCAUGAGAGAAACUUUCACCGUGCCCUGAAAAUGGACAGCCACCUGCAUACCUCACAGGUUUUCAGUAGCCUUUGACAUACCCUGUACAAACAGCAACAUAAAGGCAGAAGACUACAUCGUGCCACAAUCCGGAUGCCAGAUACUGUCUGUAUUGGAAGGGUUUAGAGCCCUUGUUCCUUUAACAAAAUACGUGUAUGAUAGUGGUCUAAAGACAAACACUGCAUUGACUCAUUUUGUACACCUUGUGCAUGAAAAAUAUUCCAGUUAAGUGUAUUGUCAAAACAUAGAUGUAGGAAAUAAUUCAUGUGUAAAGACAUGCAUUAGUAACUUCAACUUAGGGUUGCAAGGAGCUGUUUUACCAUGGACGCUAUCCAAAGAAGGGGUGCCUAUUUCCGUAGAAAUGGGUGUACUGGAGCAUCAGCAAAGGAAUGUGAAGGUGUUCUUUAGUCCAAGACUUCAUUUCAGUGAAGUGACUCUGAAUCUGGCCCUGGAUCCAAACACUGAGAAUGGGAGUUGUAAAAAAUGAAGGAGCUAAACACAUUACUGCUGCUCAGCUAUGGAAUACGUGAGGAGAUAAUUCUGGUCAGGGGAAGUGGUGAAUUACUACUGAAAUUCUCCAGUCUGCUGGGUACGGUGCGUUGAGAGAAAUACUGUUCAGCACUAGCAGCUGGUUUUAAGUAAGCUUCCUUACAGUGUCUCCAGUGUAAAAUGCUUUGUUGUGGGGAUUUUUUUGUGUUGAGUUUUGUGUUUGGUUUUGUGGUUUUUUUAAAUCCCCCGCUCUUAACUCUUGGAAUUUAGACAAAUUCAGAAAUCUAGUUUGGGCUUGUUUUUAAUGUAAAAAACAUAACAUCUCUGAGCUCUUCCACAGAAAGCAUUUAGUUUGGUACUCCCAUGUGCUGUCCAAGCACACUACCCCAGUUUGCAAAACCUGUUUUGUAAGUACUGAUGCUAAUCAAAUCUUGCCACUCAGAAACAAGGGUUGGGGGAUUUGCCUGUCCUUUUUCUUAGAAAAUAAAUAAUACCAUCACUGACAAAUGAUUUCCAUGAAUUAAUUGCCUGGACCAAAGGGUGCUCUGCUACUUGUGUGCAGGCUGCAUUGAAGACAGUUUCCCAGUCAUUCUGCAAUUGCAUUGCUUAACUGUCUGUCCUGUUGCCAAAGCAUUGCCAGGAUUUCAGUGACAAUGCAAGAUUUUAUUUGUUAUCACUGGGAUGAUGUGAAGAAAGCUUUCCUUAAUGACACCCGUUUCCUUUGUCACUGAAGUACCAAUUCACACUCCGGUACUAUCAAUUAUCGCACCACCUCAAAUUAGCUGAAG